GUUUGAUGGCGGCCUGGAUUGAACGCUGGCGGGAUGCUUUACACAUGCAAGUCGAACGGCAGCACGGACUUCGGUCUGGUGGCGAGUGGCGAACGGGUGAGUAAUGUAUCGGAACGUGCCUAGUAGCGGGGAUAACUACGCGAAAGCGUAGCCAAUACCGCAUACGCCCUUCGGGAAAGCGGGGGACCUUUCGGGCCUCGCAAUUAUUAGAGCGGCCGAUAUCGGAUGAAGCUGGUUGGUGGGGUAACGGCUCACCAAGGCGACGAUCCGUAGCUGGUUUGAGAGGAGACCAGCCACACUGGACUGAGACACGGCCCAGACUCCUACGGAGGCAGCAGGGGGAAUUUUGGACAAUGGGGAAAUCCCUGAUCCAGCCAUCCCGCGUGUGUGAUGAAGGCCUUCGGGUUGUAAAGACGCAGGCAGGAAAGAAACGGCACGGGAUAAUACCCGUGCAACUGACGGUACCUGCAGAAUAAGUACCGCUAACUACGUGCCAGCAGCCGCGGUAAUACGUAGGGUGCAAGCGUUAAUCGGAAUUACUGGGCGUGAAGCGUGCGCAGGCGGUUCUGAAAGAAAGAUGUGAAAUCCAGAGCUUAACUUUGGAACUGCAUUUUUAACUACCGAGCUAGAGUGUGUCAGAGGGAGGUGGAAUUCAUGUAGCAGUGAAAUGCGUAGAUAUGCGGAGGAACAACGAUGGCGAAGGCAGCCUCCUGGGAUAACACUGACGCUCAUGCACGAAAGCGUGGGGAGCAAACAGGAUUAGAUACCCUGGUAGUCCACGCCCUAAACGAUGUCAACUAGGCUAUGUUGGGGCCUUCUGGCCUUGGUAGCAGCUAACGGUGUAGUAGUUGACCGCCCGGGGAGUACGGUCGCAAGAUUAAAACUCGGCGAAUUGACGGGGACCCGCAGCCAAAGUGGUGGAGGAUGUGGAUUAACGAUGCAACGCGAAAACCUUACCUACCCUUGACAUGUCUGGAAUCCCUAAGAGAUUUGGGAGUGCUCGCAAGAGAAACCGAACACAGGUGCUGCAUGGCCACGUCAGCUCGUAGUCGUGUAUGUUGGUUGUCCGCAACGAGGCAAAACCCUUGUCGAGUUAGUUGCUACCGAAGGGCACUUAAUGAGACCGCCGGUGACAAACUGAGAAGCAGGAUGACGUCAAGUCCUCAUGGCUCCCAGGGUAGGGCUUCACACGUCAUACAAUAUCGACAGAGGGUCGCCAACCCGCGAGGGGGAGCCAAUCCCAGAAACCCGAUCGUGGUAGUCCGGAUCGGUAGUUCGCAACUCGACUGCGUGAAGUCGGGAACGCUAGUAAUCGCGGAUCAGCAUGUCGCGGUGAAUACGUUCCCGGUCUUGUACACACCGCCUGUCACACCAUGGGAGUGGUUUUACCAGAAGUAGUUAGCCUAACCGUAAGGAGGGCGAUUACCACGGUAGGAUUCAUGACUGGGGUGAAGUCGUAACAAGG
rnacentral:rRNA from 1 species